GACGAACGCUGGCGGCGUGCCUAAUACAUGCAAGUCGAACGCAGUGGGGACGGGUGAGUAACACGUGGGUAACCUCCCAUCAGAGGGGAUAACACUUGGAAACAGGUGCUAAACUGAUACUGAUGGAUGGACCCGCGGUGCAUUAGCUAGUUGGUGAGGUAACGGCGCACCAAGGCAACGAUGCAUAGCCGACCUGAGAGGGUGGUCGGCCAAACUGGAACUGAGCCACGGCCCGAACUCCUACGGGAGGCAGCAGUAGGGAAUCUUCGACAAUGGACGAAAGGCUGACCGAGCAACGCCGCGUGAGUGAAGAAGGUUUUCGGAUCGUAAAACUCUGUUGUUGGAGAAGCGGUAUCUAACCAGAAAGCCACGGCUAACUACGUGCCAGCAGCCGCGGUAAUAC
rnacentral:rRNA from 1 species